rnacentral:pre_miRNA from 1 species
CUCACACCCAUGUGUGUAGGACCCUAAAGGAUUACCAUUAAAUUUGGCACAGAUCUAUAGAAAAAUUAUCCUAUGGAUGUGGGACUUGACUUUUCUAGUUAUCUGUGUCAAAUUUAAUGGUGAUCCUUUGGGGUCCUACACACAUGGGUGUGGG